UGUACAGGAAUAUAAAAUCCUGUGAAAAGAUAUGGAAAGGAAGAAUGAGACAAUAAAACAGUCUGUGAUAGCAGAAGUACAAGUUGAGGCCCUAACUCCACAAAGUGUCGAAUGCCCGACUGUACCAGUUUUACCGGUAUAAAUUACUGCACAAAUGGCCAAACAAGUGGCCACUUUCUUUCAACAAAUGGCUGAUACUCUGUCAGCUCAAGCUCAAGUACAAACCCAACCCCCACAAGGGCAGUAUAAAAUAGAGAAGAGGGAGAAACCUAUGGGUCAGAGCUCGAACUGUAUUUUGGGGAAGAGAAAAGAAUUUGAGGAGCCUCGAGCUCAGGGAUAUGACAGAGGCGGAUCAUCAGGGCAGAGAACACCAAGAUCUAGUCGUUGAACUACCAGAAGUUCCUAUUCUACCAUGUUUGUGGUAAGCUAUAUGGAGGUAUUUGUCGUAAGGCCUUUGGAGCCUGCUACAAUCGUGAAAAACUUGGACACUUUAUUAAAGAUUGUACUAGAGCACCUCGAUCUACUCUCCAAAUUUCACAGACAGUCAGUAAAGGUCAAGAUAGAAAUAGAGUUGGUACUCCUCAUAACCAUAACACAGUGAAUCAACCCGAACAUAGUAGCGCAUCAGUUAGAGCGUCCACUAUGCGCCAAGGGGAAAGAACAGAAACUUUGGAUGUAGCUGCUGUUGAUAAGGAUAUUGAGAAGCAUAAAGAACAUUGAGUCAAGGCCUAGAAGCGACUCAAAUCAGGUGAAAAGAGCAUAGAACAAUUGAGUAAGCUUCUUUGAAGACACAUUCAGAUCAGCUCCAGGUAUAUCAUAGGUAUACCCAUGUACAUAGGUUUUGAUGUAUGCAUAUAAUAAUAUGUAUGUAAAUUAUUUUAGUAGUUGUAUAAAAACUCUUAUAAAGUAUUUUGGUAUGUAAUUGUAAAUUAUUU